AUUGAACGCUGGCGGCAGGCCUAACACAUGCAAGUCGAACGGUAGCACAGAGAGCUUGCUCUCGGGUGACGAGUGGCGGACGGGUGAGUAAUGUCUGGGAAACUGCCUGAUGGAGGGGGAUAACUACUGGAAACGGUAGCUAAUACCGCAUAACGUCGCAAGACCAAAGAGGGGGACCUUCGGGCCUCUUGCCAUCAGAUGUGCCCAGAUGGGAUUAGCUAGUAGGUGGGGUAACGGCUCACCUAGGCGACGAUCCCUAGCUGGUCUGAGAGGAUGACCAGCCACACUGGAACUGAGACACGGUCCAGACUCCUACGGGAGGCAGCAGUGGGGAAUAUUGCACAAUGGGCGCAAGCCUGAUGCAGCCAUGCCGCGUGUAUGAAGAAGGCCUUCGGGUUGUAAAGUACUUUCAGCGGGGAGGAAGGUGUUGUGGUUAAU
rnacentral:rRNA from 1 species